UUAUUACAUCUAAAUAUAAGUACAUACAUAUUAUAAUACAUAAACAUUAUAAUACAAUAACUAAAAUACAAAUUAAAUAUUAUUCCUGAGUUUGAGGAGGAAUAUUUUUAUGACCCCAAGAUAAUGUUCUACCUUCAGAAUUGUUUAACAUGUAACGUUUAUCAUCUUUGAAAGAUAAAGCAAUUUUUUUCUUUAAUUCUGUGUAAAUGUUAUGAAGCUUCGAACGAAAGAUAUUCAUUUCUUUAAUAAUUUCAGUGUUUGGAACAGUAACUGCGUUUUGGUAGUCAAUUUUAUGUAAUUUACUUCUAAUUACAUUGUGUUUAAUAACCUUAGCUUUUUUAGAUGAUUCACCUUCAACAUCCACAUAAUAUGCUUUAGCACCUGUUCCUAAAAAUUCUGAUAUUACACGCCCUUUAUAUUCAUCUUUCAUCUUCCCGAUGACAGAAGACGAUACAGUUUUUAAGCCAAACCUAACGCUAUGAACAUCAUAAAAACGAUCCAACAUGUACAAACAAUUCCAAACAUUACUAAAAAGUAUUGCUCAAAUAACCCAAAUUCAUCUUCUUCCAUUGGUAAUCAACAUCGUUGAAAAAUAAACUUUUCCAGAGAGGAGACCAUCUUGUGUUGUUAGGACUUUUACUAGUAAAAAUAAAUAAAUAUAAAUAUG